UUUUUUAAUACAUGUUAUUAUGUUUUUAUCUUUACUCUUUAUUAUUAUAGUUUGAUUAACAUAAUGUGUGUGCCUUAAUGAAUUGAAGGGUUUUUAUUAAAUCUUACAGCAUAAAUAUGUACACUAACAAUGUUUGAUAUAUGUCUCAUGUAACCAAGGGUAAAAUCUAAGCCGGUAUAUUAGAGUGCAGGACACGAGGUUCAACAGGAUACCAGAAUGUGUGUGAGAAACAGCUGAUACGGCCUUGGGGCUGGGAGGAAGAGAUAUGAGAAAGUUGGAUGUAGUGUGAUGUUUUUCAGAGUUCUAAGAAAGCAGCCGUUUGGAGGAGAUCACUCGACGUUGCGUCACUGAAUGAUUGGAUAAGAAAGAGGUCCAUCAAACUCAACCCAGCCUUACCAUAGGCCCAGGACGAGAAGCAAGCCUCAAGACACACCUCACACAUACACACAUAAAUAUGUAAACACAACAGGAAACGGGGCUGUUCUUGAUUAUACUCUGUGCGGAGAGUGAGUGAGCAGGACAGCCCAGAUCUGUGAAUCAAACCAAUAAACUUCUAUUAUUGUACCAAA